rnacentral:rRNA from 1 species
UACGUAGGGUGCGAGCGUUAAUCGGAAUUACUGGGCGUAAAGUGUGCGCAGGCGGCAGAGCAAGUCGAGUGUGAAAGCCCCGGGCUUAACUUGGGAAUUGCGCUCGAAAACUACUUUGCUGGAGUGUGGCAGAGGAAGGUGGAAUCCACGUGUAGCGGUGAAAUGCGGUAGAGAUGUGGAGGAACACCAAUGGCGAAGGCAGCCCUUCUGGGCCAACACUGACGCUCAUGCACGAAAGCGUGGGGAGCAAACAGGAUAGAA